rnacentral:rRNA from 1 species
UACGGAGGGUGCAAGCGUUAUCCGGAUUCACUGGGUUUAAAGGGUGCGUAGGCGGGCAGUUAAGUCAGUGGUGAAAUCCUUGAGCUUAACUCGAGAACUGCCAUUGAUACUAUCUGUCUUGAAUAUUGUGGAGGUAAGCGGAAUAUGUCAUGUAGCGGUGAAAUGCUUAGAUAUGACAUAGAACACCUAUUGCGAAGGCAGCUUACUACGCAUAUAUUGACGCUGAGGCACGAAAGCGUGGGGAUCAAACAGG